UGUUCUAAGCAGAGAUUAACAGUCCUCAGCUUUCUGCCUUGCACAUAACUGGCUUACCAAGGGAAAAGAAAUCAGGCGUCAGUCUACUCCCUUCAUACGUUGGAAAGUGAGCAAAAGUGAUCGGUCUGCGAGAACUAUUGAUGCUACGGAAAAGCCGUCCAACUGGGAGUGGAACAGCUGCUACUCUCAAUGAUAAGUGUCUGUUUUGGUGAUUGCUCUGCUCAUGGCCCCCUUGUUUCUGGUAGUGAUGCUCCGUUAGCUGGGGCUGGGUUUGUAAGAACAGGUUCCCGACUAGUAGUUAUGAGGGAGACAAGGUCCCCGUUUUCAGGGUCUGCUCAGUUCUCUGGCCAGGAGCAGUGUGUCCUCUGCAGCAGAAGGUUAGAUCCAGGAGAAUGGCUGCAGGUGGAGAGUUGCUUGCCUUCCUCUUGUGUUUUUCUCUCUGUUCUUUAGUAUGUUGGCCAACACACACCCUCUCUCUAUCCUUACCUUUCCUUAUGCUGUCUCCCUUCUUAGGACAUGGGGAGGUGUGCUAGGUGUGCAUCCCCACAGGUUAGGUCUUGGAAGCCCUGGAGUAGUAGGAGGGGACGAAAACCAUGUUGGGCAGUAGGCUCUAAAGAGGAGCGGUGGCUGUUGGUGUUAACUCGGUCUCUGUUCGUCGAGUGGGGCCGAUGUAGAUGGGAUGGAAGAGGGAGGCAGGGAUGAGGCCAAGAUUUCAAGCACCAAUAGAGCUGCGUGUAGUUAUGGCUCAUGCUUGGCUUUUGCAGCUGCGCUUGCAAAGGAAUUGUCCAGGAGCCCCAGCCCAAGGAGAAACUGGCAGAAGUGGAUCUGAGCAGCCUGGACAUCCUUCUAAGGAGACAUGAACAGUCCUUAGCUUCCUGCCUUCUGAACAACUGGCUUACCAAGGAAAAAGAAGUCACACGUCAGAGUCUACUGCCCUCGUGCCAUGGCAAGUGAGUGAGAGCAGCGAGCCUGUGAGCAUUGUUCAGGCCAGGCAAGAGCCGUCCAUCUGGGAGCCGAGGAGAUGCUACUGUCACUGAGAUAAGUGUCUGUUUUGCUGAGGGUUCUGCUCACGGCUCAGCUCCUGGUAGGGACGCCCCAUUAGCAAGGUCUGGGGUUGUAAGAAAAGGUUCCUAACUAGUGGUUAUGAAGGAGACAAGGUCCCCAUUUUCAGGGGCUGGUAAUUUCUCUGGCCAGGAGGGGUGUGUCCUCUGCAG